CUAACUGUAAACGAUGAUUACUGGGUGUGGGGGAGCGAAACCUCUGUGCCGAAGCAAACGCGAUAAGUAAUCCGCCUGGGGAGUACGACCGCAAGGUUGAAACUCAAAGGAAUUGACGGGGACCCGCACAAGCGGUGGAGCAUGUGGUUUAAUUCGACGCAACGCGAGGAACCUUACCAGGUCGUGACAUCGUAGGAAUUUAUUAGAGAUAAUGAAGUGCCUCUAUGAGGAACCUAUAGACAGGUGG
rnacentral:rRNA from 1 species